AAAAAAAAAAAAAAAAAAAAGGGUCUCCUCCAACAACAAUUGAUUGAAAAUUUAGUUCUUGCCUUUCUCAAGCAAGCUUCAUUCAUUUGCUCUAGCACAAAAAAAGAAGAAUCAUAGAAGAAAAAUAUAAGAAGUCGAAGAAGGAAUUGAAGAAGAGCAGCAGCAGCAGAAGAAGAGAGGAGGCUGCAUGCAAGAUUAUAGAGGCGAGGGAGGGAGAACCAGAGAGGACAGUCACAGGAGGGGAGGGGCUGCUACUUACAUGAAUUUGAGAGGAGAGCCAGCUGGACCCUUAUGCCUUUCAACUUUCACAUGAAUUUGAAGCACUUAUGAACAAUUACUUAUAAUACCUAAGCAUUGAAGAUCACUCACUAGUGAUACAUGAAAGUACACAAAAAAUAUAGCAAUUUAUUUAGGAUAAGUGUCUAUAUCUAGUAAGCAUCGGAGUAGAUUCCCACUAAAAAAAGAUAAAGAACACCAUAAAUUAAAACACACUACUUUGCGUUUAUAGCCACUUAUUUAAACCUUUUAAAAUUAAAAAGAGUCAAUGGACUAUUUUAGUCCUCUCGAUGCCUGUGGAUGACGACUUGCACAAUUAGUGCUCGUUGUUCUUGGACUAGGAUCUUCCUUAGUUAUUUCAAAGUGCAAAUACCGUCUCAAAUUUGUAGUAUGUGGCUUCCUCAUCUUAGGAUCAAAAGCAGGCGUAUGCUCCAUGAAGGUAGCCAGUGUUUGCUCAUGUCGAAGCUUGGCCUUCAUUAUAUGUUGAAUUGCUUGCUUAAUUUCUUGAAGCCUAUUCGCGCUAUCCAUACUUAUGAUUUUUAAGUGGUUUGCUAAAUAUAGUUGAAACAAGCUUCUAUUUAUAGGCCUUUAACUCUAUCUUAUUACCAUUAAAUCUUUCUUAUUAUUAGUGAUAAAGGUAGUCUUAGUGGAGAAGGAUGAUUCAAACUUGGUUUUUCAUGAAUAUGGAACCUUCUCCACUAGAUAUUGCUAAAUAAUUAUACUUUGAUUUGAGUACGAAAGGCUCGCCCCAAAGAGCAAAUAGUCCCUUGUUUUUCGUGAUUAUUAAAACAUGGUUUAACACCGAUGAGAAUUUGUCAAACUAGUAUUCCAUCAGGAGCUAUCAAAGUAUGUUUCGCUAAUCCUUAUUGGACAGCUUGAAAGUGGGUUAAUACAAAAUCAUGUGAUCUAUACUCGUUUACAUACUCCUUUACGAGUUGUCAAAUCAUGUUUAAUAAAUCGUCAAUCUCCAACCCCUAACUCCAAGUAUAAAAUUAUGCAAUUUGUCCUCUUUUCCUUACCCCACUAGCUUCGUCGUCCUUUGCCUACUCUAUAACUAGCUUCUAUGUGUCUUUUUUUAAUUGGCUUAUCUAUACCCAACUACAUCAUGAACUUCCCUUGGCCAAUCCUCACUCGACAGCUCCAUCCUUGUCUACGUGAGGUCGAAGCUAGUGUUCUUGAUUGAUAUGGUUAGAUGCUUGCUUUUUCCCCGAUAAAGCCCUUGUCUAGCUUGCUUUGUCAGUCCACUAAUACCAUUAGUAGAGACUUCAAGACUCAAUUAUAUUUCGUCCUAUCUAAAGAGGAAUCAGCAUAGUAAUGAGUUAGGUAAAUGUUUUCAGUAAACUAAACACUCAUUAAAAUAAAUAAAAAAGUAAGUCUACCAUAGGUAAAGAGUGUGGUUAAGUGAUGUGUUAAACAAACUCAAAUCCCCUAAGUCAGGAUUUGUUUGUUAGAACUUUGUAGGUAAAGUCAAGCCUAAUAGAGAGAAUCAACAUAAUUUUAUCUAGAUUCAACUUCUACUUGGUAUAUCAGGGAUCUUAAUAUCAUUCAAUUGUUAUUCGUUGAUGAAACCUUUGGUUGUUGGUUAAUGAUAGUAUGGUCUAUCAUAGCAAUGGAAGUAUAUGUGUUAACAACAGUCUAUGAGGCCGCACUUAAACUAAGUAGAGGGUAGGGAUUAGGAGGGAGGUAUUUUGAAUUUCUUCUUAGAUAAUAUUCAAAAAUAUAGUUUAGGUAUGACAAAUUAUAGUUUGUUUGAAUUACGUGAUCUUAUGUUAAAACAAAAAGGGCAUAGACCUAAUAGGAGAUUAAGACAGAACAAAGGUUGGUUGCAUAUGUUGUUACAAAAUAUGUAGCUACAGAAAUUAUCUAGUCACAUGAGUACUCUUAUAUGCUCUUUCUACUAUUAGAGCAACCCUUGCUAGUCUUUGAGGAAUCUCCACUACUCUUUUCUCGGCUUCUCUCCUUUCGACUUUUCCAUUCGAGUGGAGUUAUCUUUAAAGGAGCUAAUGGCAUUGACAGGGUUAGGGCAGCGAGUGAUUC
rnacentral:misc_RNA from 1 species